rnacentral:rRNA from 1 species
CCUACGGGGGGCUGCAGUGGGGAAUAUUGGACAAUGGGCGAAAGCCUGACCCAGCCAUGCCGCGUGUGUGAAGAAGGCCUUCGGGUUGUAAAGCACUUUCAGUGGGGAAGAAAGCCUUGGGGCUAAUACCCUCGAGGAAGGACAUCACCCACAGAAGAAGCACCGGCUAACUCCGUGCCAGCAGCCGCGGUAAUACGGAGGGUGCGAGCGUUAAUCGGAAUUACUGGGCGUAAAGCGCGCGUAGGCGGUCUGAUAAGCCGGUUGUGAAAGCCCCGGGCUCAACCUGGGAACGGCAUCCGGAACUGUCAGGCUAGAGUGCAGGAGAGGAAGGUAGAAUUCCCGGUGUAGCGGUGAAAUGCGUAGAGAUCGGGAGGAAUGCCAGUGGCGAAGGCGGCCUUCUGGACUGACACUGACGCUGAGGUGCGAAAGCGUGGGUAGCAAACAGGAUUAGAUACCCGGGUAGUC